UCCGCGCCGCGCCCACGUGUGCGGGCGGGCCGCGCCCCGGUCGGAUCCGAGUGUGUUUGUGCAUCCCCUCGUUCUGCCCCCUUUCCCCGAGUGGUACCGGGGGUCUCUUCCCCGUGCGGGUAGCUAUGGAGCAGGCGCUCAGGUCUCUCGCCCGCGGGGCCGUGGGGCUGCCGUCCGCCACUUGCAGCCGCUGCUUUGGGAAGGGCCCCGCGCGGGUCCGGCAGCCUUGGCGGUUCUGCACGGCUGCGGCGCGAGGCGGGGACCGAGCCCGCAUCUCCGGUGGGAGUCUGCGGGACUCAGGCUGGGGCUCGGCGAGACGCGAGGUCUCGAAGGGCGGGAGGAGGCCGGAGGGAAGGGCUCUGUCCAUCGAGAGGACGAGGGGCAGCGAGAUCCUGUUCGGCGUAGCGCCGUGCUCCAUGGCCCUGUCCCGGGCCAGGAGGGAUCUGUUCAGGCUGUUCCUCAAGCGGAGCAGCGGCUCUCAGCGUGCGAUCAGCAGCGAGUUCGUGCUGCAGGCCGCGGCACGCGGGAUUCCCGUGCUCCACGUCGGGAGGAGGGAGCUGGAUGCGUUGUGCGGGGGCCGCGUCCACCAGGGAGUGUGCUUGGAGGCCACUCCGCUCCGCUUCAAGAGGCUAGAGGAGGCCGAAGAGCCCGGUUUGGGGGAUGGAGAGAGCCCGAAACGGCAGCUGCUGUGGCUCGUGCUGGAGCAGAUCCAGGACCCCAUGAACCUGGGGGCACUGCUGCGCUCUGCGUAUUUCUUGGGGGCGGACAGAGUGGUGACGAGCCGGAGGAACAGCUGCCCCUUGACUCCAGUAGUGAGCAAAGCAAGUUCUGGAGCUAUGGAAGUCUUUGAUGUCUACAGCACAGAUGAUCUCAGGAGCUUUUUGAAGGCUAAAGCUGCAGAAGGCUGGGAAGUUGUGGGAACAGUGAGCCAGUCUGAAACUGUGGAAAAUGUUCCUGUCAUCAGCUGCUUGGAGUUUCGGUGGAACAAACCCAUUAUUUUAGUGAUAGGUAGUGAAGGUGAUGGCCUUUCCCUGGAGACGCAGCUCCUGUGCCACCAGAUGCUGGUCAUCCCCUCUGGCAGGGCACUGCACCCAGGCAUCGAGUCACUGAACGUCUCCGUAGCCACUGGCAUUCUCCUGCACUCCAUCUGCAGCCAAAAGCUGAGGCACGGUGAUUGAUUUUUAUCCUGGCACAUGGUGGAAGUUGCCCAGCCAAGAUCUUUGAUGGCAAGAAACUGCUCAGUGUUCCAUGGCUGUGUUCACUAUGGAUAUGGUAGUACUCCUUCCAGGCUCGGCACCAUCUCAGCAAGUUUCAGGUGCUUAAACAUGAGGAGACCCUUCAUUAAGGUUGCUUGUGUUUGAGAAAGCCACGUGCCCUCUGCCCACGCUCAGCCAUGGCAGCUCAUCCCCAACAGAUCCCAGGAAAUGCUCUUGACCAUCUGCUGCUGCUCUAAGGAACGAGUGUUUACCACCAGAAACAUGGGAGGUAUCUGGGAUAGAUCACAGCAGAGUGCAAGGGCAGAGUGCAGCCACUUAAGCAAAGCUGUGCCACAGUCACCAUGAGCCAGGAGUCGGAAGCUGCUCAGUCAGCGGCAGCCUCCUCCCGUGGCACCAGGAGGUUGCAGCCUGCAGUGAGCACAGCAAGACCUGGCGCAGUAGGGAAUACGUGGAUGGACACAGGGAUUUUGCUGUGGCCAAGCAGUAGGGACGACUGGUGUCAUGCACCUCAUCUUAAGGGACAGCUUCUGGAAACAUUCCCAGUCCUUGGCGUAUUCAUCAGGAUUGUUACAAUUCUGCUGCCACAAAGAGGGAAGUAUCUUGUUCUCCUGUUAUUUAUUAGCAUAUGCUGUAGUGUGAGGGCCCUGCUGUGAGGGGCACUGGGUAAACACAGCCGAAAUGACAGCAGCAGUCCUCAUCACAGAGCGUUAGCAAUUCUAACAGCCACGUCAGGCGGAGAAUUUGAGAGACGGAUGUAACACGAGCAAAGGAAGAAUGUGGCAGUUUGCAAACAGCGAGUUGCGUGGUGUUUUUGAAGGUGUGUUCAUUCUUGAAGCACCUCGAAAGAAAUGCAAAUGAAAUGUAUGGUGGACAGGUCUAUGUGCAAGCAAGGCCUGUUGGAGCUUCAUGUUGGAGACGUAGAAACUUCUUUGUCUCAUAGAAAGAGAUAACAAGGCUUUUUGAAAGUGUGAGCAAAGCAUUGGAGGCCUGUUUUUGCCUGAAAGCACAGUGGGAUAGAUCAUGGAGUCUGAGGAGCAGGGAGUCGUGUGCUAUUCUAUUAAUAAAAGCAGAAGGAAGUAACAGAACAGAAGCAGUGGAGCAAAUCCAAAAGCCAGUGCCCCACCAAACGGGCAAAAAACCUCACCAAACAAAAGCUGAUGAAUUUCCAAGGUAGAAUUUGCUGGCAGACAGACUGGGCUGAUGCUUCCUAAAGCAACCAGUGUAAUCCCUCCACUCUGCUAAGGCAAUGCCAAACAAAAGAAACCUGCUCAACGUUUUCUAUUAGCCCGAAAUUUUGCUGUAGAGAAAAUGAUAACACAGAAGGAAUUUCCUUGGGAAAGAAAAGAGAAAAGGGCGCUGCGGAGUUAUUUUAGUUCAGGCGACUGCAAUGCUAAAAAUGAAUUCUGGGGCAGGACAAUAAACUCAUACACGAAUACUAAUUCUGCUUCCAAUCAUCCAAGGAGUUCAGUCACUGAAGCCCAUUCACAGUCUGUGUGGUUCCCCAGGCUCAGAGGGAUGCUCCAAAAAACUUUGAAAAUCCCAAUCUAAACACGUCUGUGUCCAACUUUCUAAAGAUCCUCCUGUGGGGCUGCAAAGAAUAAGUAAUUUCUAUCUGUAACACGUUAUGAAGUCCUCAGGAAGUAGGCACCAGGGCAGUGUAAAAUGGUUAUUUUAGCAGUAUCUUCUCUUACAAUUGCUUGUUCUCCAUCUCCACGGAGGGCGGCUGGCAGCACAGUGCUGCAGUGAUUUAAGCCCACCAGGCUGCGGUGUUGGCUCUUGUGAAGUGCCUGAGCCCCGCGCAGGACUUGGCCAUAAACUGCACAGCCCAAGGAAGAUGUUGCUUGUUUUCCAGGACAGGAUGAAAUCACCCCGUGCAUGUCCUCUGUCUAUUGCCUCUCCGGGCAGGGAAAACAUAAAUGCCUUUCCCAUCAUUUUAUUUAUUGCCUUUCUGUGUUUCCUGGGAAUAGCCUAUUUUUAUUUUUUAGCACUUGUGUGUGUGUGUGAGUCUGUGUGGGGUAAGCGUGUGUGUGUGUGUGUUUAGGAGGUUAAAAAAAAUUUCUUGCUGUCAGCAAGUGAUGUUACAAACCUGCUCUGACAAGGCUGGUUGUAUAUUUACAGUUGGUGAGAGCGAAGGCUUCAUCAAUCUUCACGCUUUGAAAGGGACAGGCCCGCUCCCAUGAGCACCUGCUCCGGGAGAACAGCUGAACUGUGACUUUCCAGGGAGCUGGCUGUAAAUUUUAGCCAUUCCCCCCACAGCCCACGCAUGCUUGAGCUCUUUAACCUUCCCAGGCUGGCAGGAGUCCCAGCAAUCAGUUUAGUGCAAAGACUGGGGUUCUUUUUAAUUAACCUUUUGUUUCC